CCUACGGGAGGCAGCCGUGAGGAAUAUUGGUCAAUGGGCGGGAGCCUGAACCAGCCAAGCCGCGUGAGGGAAGAAGGUACAGCGUAUCGUAAACCUCUUUUGUCAGGGAACAAAGGCGGGGACUAGUCCCCGGAUGAGGGUACCUGAAGAAAAAGCAUCGGCUAACUCCGUGCCAGCAGCCGCGGUAAUACGGAGGAUGCGCGCGUUAUCCGGAUUUAUGGGGUUUAAAGGGUGCGCAGGCGGCCUGUUAAGUCAGCGGUAAAAGCCCGGGGCUCAACCCCGGCGAGCCGUGGAAACUGGCGGGCGGGAGUUGGAGAGAAGUACGCGGAAGGCGCGGUGUAGCGGUGAAAUGCUUAGAUAUCGCGCAGAACCCCGAUUGCGAAGGCAGCGUACCGGCUCCACACUGACGCUGAGGCACGAAAGCGUGGGUAUCGAACAGGAUUAGAUACCCGGGUAGUC
rnacentral:rRNA from 1 species